rnacentral:rRNA from 1 species
GACGAACGCUGGCGGCGUGCUUAACACAUGCAAGUCGAGCGGAGCGGCGAACGGGUGAGUAAAGCGUGAGUAACUGCCCCCCUCUCUGGGAUAACAGUUGGAAACGGCUGCAAAUACCGGAUAGUGAGGGAUGACUCGGGUCCUAUCAGCUUGUGGGUGGGGUAGGGGCCUACCAAGGCGACGACGGUGAGCCGGCCUGAGAGGGCGACCGGCCACCAUGGGCUGAGAUACUGCCAAAAAUCCUAUGGGAGGCAGCAGUGGGGAAUAGUGCACAAUUGUGGAAACCCUGAUGCAGCAACGCCGCGUGCGGGAUGACGGCCUUCGGGUUGUAAACCGCUUUCAGCCAUGACGCGGUAGUGGCAGAAGAAGCACCGGCUAACUACGUGCCAGCAGCCGCGGUAAUUC